rnacentral:rRNA from 1 species
UAGAGUUUGAUCCUGGCUCAGGAUGAACGCUGGCGGCGUGCCUAAUACAUGCAAGUCGAGCGAACAGAUAAGGAGCUUGCUCCUUUGACGUUAGCGGCGGACGGGUGAGUAACACGUGGAUAACCUACCUAUAAGACUGGGAUAACUUCGGGAAACCGGAGCUAAUACCGGAUAACAUAUUGAACCGCAUGGUUCAAUAGUGAAAGGCGGCUUUGCUGUCACUUAUAGAUGGAUCCGCGCCGUAUUAGCUAGUUGGUAAGGUAACGGCUUACCAAGGCAACGAUACGUAGCCGACCUGAGAGGGUGAUCGGCCACACUGGAACUGAGACACGGUCCAGACUCCUACGGGAGGCAGCAGUAGGGAAUCUUCCGCAAUGGGCGAAAGCCUGACGGAGCAACGCCGCGUGAGUGAUGAAGGUCUUCGGAUCGUAAAACUCUGUUAUCAGGGAAGAACAAAUGUGUAAGUAACUGUGCACAUCUUGACGGUACCUGAUCAGAAAGCCACGGCUAACUACGUGCCAGCAGCCGCGGUAAUACGUAGGUGGCAAGCGUUAUCCGGAAUUAUUGGGCGUAAAGCGCGCGUAGGCGGUUUUUUAAGUCUGAUGUGAAAGCCCACGGCUCAACCGUGGAGGGUCAUUGGAAACUGGAAAACUUGAGUGCAGAAGAGGAAAGUGGAAUUCCAUGUGUAGCGGUGAAAUGCGCAGAGAUAUGGAGGAACACCCAGUGGCGAAGGCGACUUUCUGGUCUGUAACUGACGCUGAUGUGCGAAAGCGUGGGGAUCAAACAGGAUUAGAUACCCUGGUAGUCCACGCCGUAAACGAUGAGUGCUAAGUGUUAGGGGGUUUCCGCCCCUUAGUGCUGCAGCUAACGCAUUAAGCACUCCGCCUGGGGAGUACGACCGCAAGGUUGAAACUCAAAGGAAUU